rnacentral:rRNA from 1 species
AGAGUUUGAUCCUGGCUCAGGACGAACGCUGGCGGCGUGCCUAAUACAUGCAAGUCGAACGCUUCUCUUUUCACCGGAGCUUGCUCCAACGAAAAGAGAAGAGUGGCGGACGGGUGAGUAACACGUGGGCAACCUGCCCAACAGAGGGGGAUAACACUUGGAAACAGGUGCUAAUACCGCAUAGGUCAUCAUUCCACAUGGAAAGAUGACAAAAGACGCUACGGUGUCGCUGUUGGAUGGGCCCGCGCUGCAUUAGUUAGUUGGUGAGGUAACGGCUCACCAAGACCAUGAUGCAUAGCCGACCUGAGAGGGUGAUCGGCCACACUGGGACUGAGACACGGCCCAGACUCCUACGGGAGGCAGCAGUAGGGAAUCUUCGGCAAUGGACGAAAGUCUGACCGAGCAACGCCGCGUGAGUGAAGAAGGUUUUCGGAUCGUAAAACUCUGUUGUUAGAGAAGAACAAGUAGGAGAGUAACUGCUCUUACCUUGACGGUAUCUAACCAGAAAGCCACGGCUAACUACGUGCCAGCCGCCGCGGUAAUUC